rnacentral:rRNA from 1 species
GCCGGCAGCUAACAUCCUGCAACUGUCACAUGGUCGCCAACUGAAGCUAAGCAGGGCUGUGCCUGGUCAGUACCUGGAUGGGAGACCACAUGGGAAAGCUAGGUUGCUGCUGGAA